rnacentral:rRNA from 1 species
GAUGAACGCUGGCGGUAUGCUUAACACAUGCAAGUCGAACGGACUCUUCGGAGUUAGUGGCGGACGGGUGAGUAACGCGUGAGAAUCUGGCUUUGGGUUCGGGACAACCACUGGAAACGGUGGCUAAUACCGGAUGUGCCGAGAGGUAAAAGAGAAAUUGCCUGAAGAUGAGCUCGCGUCUGAUUAGCUAGUUGGUGAGGUAAAGGCUCACCAAGGCAGCGAUCAGUAGCUGGUCUGAGAGGAUGACCAGCCACACUGGGACUGGGACACGGCCCAGACUCCUACGGGAGGCAGCAGUGGGGAAUUUUCCGCAAUGGGCGAAAGCCUGACGGAGCAAUACCGCGUGAGGGAAGAAGGCUCUUGGGUUGUAAACCUCUUUUCUUAGGGAAGAACAAAAUGACGGUACCUAAGGAAUCAGCAUCGGCUAACUCCGUG